rnacentral:rRNA from 1 species
CCUACGGGCGGCUGCAGUAGGGAAUCUUCGGCAAUGGGGGGAACCCUGACCGAGCAACGCCGCGUGAGUGAAGAAGGUUUUCGGAUCGUAAAGCUCUGUUGUUAAGGAAGAACGAGUGUGAGAAUGGAAAGUUCAUGCUGUGACGGUACUUAACCAGAAAGGGACGGCUAACUACGUGCCAGCAGCCGCGGUAAUACGUAGGUCCCGAGCGUUGUCCGGAUUUAUUGGGCAUAAAGCGAGCGCAGGCGGUUAGAAAAGUCUGAAGUGAAAGGCAGUGGCUCAACCAUUGUAGGCUUUGGAAACUGUUUAACUUGAGUGCAGAAGGGGAGAGUGGAAUUCCAUGUGUAGCGGUGAAAUGCGUAGAUAUAUGGAGGAACACCGGUGGCGAAAGCGGCUCUCUGGUCUGUAACUGACGCUGAGGCUCGAAAGCGUGGGGAGCGAACAGGAUUAGAUACCCGGGUAGU